AGGGUUCGAUUCUGGCUCAGGAUGAACGCUAGCUACAGGCUUAACACAUGCAAGUCGAGGGGCAGCAUGAUCGAAGCUUGCUUUGAUUGAUGGCGACCGGCGCACGGGUGAGUAACGCGUAUCCAACCUUCCCUGUAGUAGAGAAUAGCCCGGCGAAAGUCGGAUUAAUGCUCUAUGUUGUAUUUCGAAGACAUCUGAAGAAUACCAAAGGUUUACCGCUAUAGGAUGGGGAUGCGUCUGAUUAGGUUGUUGGCGGGGUAACGGCCCACCAAGCCCACGAUCAGUAGGGGUUCUGAGAGGAAGGUCCCCCACAUUGGAACUGAGACACGGUCCAAACUCCUACGGGAGGCAGCAGUGAGGAAUAUUGGUCAAUGGACGGAAGUCUGAACCAGCCAAAGUAGCGUGCAGGAUGACGGCCCUAUGGGUUGUAAACUGCUUUUAUAUAGGGAUAAAGUCGGGGACGUGUCCCCGUUUGUAGGUACUAUAUGAAUAAGGACCGGCUAAUUCCGUGCCAGCCGCCGC
rnacentral:rRNA from 1 species